UGGAUGGAUUAUUUUACUGAAGUGUUUGAAUCAAAAUUAUUUGCAGUGAAUAUAUUCACAAACUUAAUUAAUUUAAAAGUUCGUAUUGUGCGCAUGCUCGCAUCACGUUAAAGCACAUCGUCCAAAAGGCUGCACUGUGUGCCUUUAAAUUCUAUAGAAUGCUAAUAAAGUCAAUAUGUGGUUAUAUCAGUUUUAGAAUCAGGGUUGUUCUCGUGAUUGACUACUUUUGUGCGUUGACAAAUUCCUGACGAGUUACAUAAUUUUGCAGUAACUUAUUGUGUCUAUUGUCGAUUUCAAGUCACUUUUCAACGCGCGGUUCCCAAUUUCGUUGCGAACUUGCCAAUUACGUUUCCAAGUUCGAAAAUUGGGCGUGAACUUCGCAACGAAGUUCGCAAGUUACUGAUUUGAAUGCUUGAACUUCGUUUGUAAACAAAUGUUCAUACUCGAUAAUAAUAACCAAUUCAAUGAAAUACAAACCUUCUUGGUAGACCACUGGACCAAGAACUUUCCAUUGAAUUGUUAAUUUCAACUUGAACUAUGAACAUUUGUUUACAAUGGAAGUUCGAAUAUUGAAAUGAACUUGCGAACUUCGUUGCGAAGUUCACGCCUAAUUUCCGAACACGAACUUCGGACCCGCGCGCUGAAAAGUGACCUGAAAACGACAAUAAGCCCCCCCCCCCCGUCAAACGAGUUGAUGAGAGUUGUAAGUCAUCCGUUGUUGGCAAGCGGUCAUUAUUUAUCGGGGGGGGGGCACCGAAGAGAAAAGGGUUGGGUAAACAAAAUUUUGAGUGAGUAAAAGGUUGGGUAAAUGAGAAACAAAACAACUCAAGGGUUGGGUAACAAAAUUUUAUUGUCAUUUCAAAAGCAUGACUCACUCAAAUAUUGAAGACCAAAAAGCAUUGUCAACAGUCAUAUGUCAAUACAAUAUGUAAAUCAAUCAGAGUCACUAUCUUGGUCAUUUUCCGAUUUGUCAGGAGGCAAAUGGUGUCUCCAAAGAAAGUACAUGUGCAGACAACAUGAAACUUUAGACUGCAGAAAAUUGCACAAGCAGUUAUCAAACUCAUGUCAGAGAAGUGUAAAGCUUGUGAAGUUUUAGGCCAGAUGUGGGUAUUUAUUUUUUAAUUGAUAUUUGAGGUUGGGUAGAAACUUUUUUGACUUUUUAAUAGAUGGAUCAACAAAAUUUUAGCAAUAAAAACAUUUCUCUUUGGUGCCACUUCCCGCCAUAAAAAUUAUCGGUCCCUUAUACGAAGACAAUUAUAGUUCCAGAUUAACAAAAUAAAGAUUUCCAAUAAAGUGUUCCAGCCAUAGAUAUCUUAUAUACACUAGAUAGCGCAUCUCUUUUAGUAAAAUUGAAGCCAAGAAUAUUCCAGCGGUUACCCCCAUUUGAAUAGAUGGCGGCCA